rnacentral:lncRNA from 1 species
CGGUGAGCCGAGAUCACACUAUUGCACUCCAGCCUUGGCAAAAAGAGCGAAACUCCAUCCCAAAAAAAAAAAAAAAACAAAGCUGCAGCUCAGAGAAGUGGAGACACUGGCCCAGGGACCCACAGCAAGGCCUUGGCCCAGCUGGGGCUAGAUGGCAAGAGGUGGUUCAGCAUUGGAGCUCCAUUGCCUGGGUUCAAAUCGGGGUCUGUCACUGGCCAGCUGUGAGCCUAAGUCUCUGAACUUCUCUGUGCCUUAGUGUCCUCAUUCUGUAGAGUGGAGAUAGUAAUCAUUCCUAUUUCAAAGAUUGUUGUGAGAAAUAAGUGAACUAAUACAUGUCAUAUGCUUAAAAGCAGGGCCCAGGACACAGUGAGCAUACAAUAGACAUUAGCUGCUGUGGUGUCUUGAUUUCAAGCCCAGUGCAGAUGCAUCUGACUUACGAAACUUCAGUGACACCUGCUCUGUGCCAGACACUGAAGAUGGAGCAGUGAACAGCACUGACCCAGCCUGUCCUCCUGUUGCCUGCAGGCCAGAAGCAAGGUCUCGCUGUGUUACCCUGGCUGGAGUGCAGUGGCUACUUACAGGCAUGAUCAUAGCAUACUGCAGCCUCGAACUCCUGGACUAGAGCAGUUCUCCUGCCUCAGCCUCCAGAGCAGCUGGGACUGCAGACACGCACCACAGAGCCCAGCCUGAGUCAUUUUGAUUCUGUAACUGGCUUCCUCUCGGCGGGCAGGCUCACACCCUCCACCCCCAGCUGGAGAUGGAAGGAGGAUGCUCACCGCCCAUUCCUCAUGCAGGCCAUCGAUGGAAAUGUCAGACAGUGCGAGUCCACGCCUGAACACUUCUGGGGUCCGCUCUGGGACUGACACUGGCAGAUCCAUCGAUGCCGUUCCAUUGUUUGCUGACUUUCAUUGAUUCUAUGAGAAGUCUGCAGUCUUUUGCAGCGUUGUUUUCCUAUGUAUAAUUGUCUCCUCCCACCCCACUCACCCCAGCUGCUUUCCACAUUCUCUCUCUUUGAUUUUCAGCAGUCUGCCCAUGAUGUGCCUAAAUAGGACUUUCUUUGCAUUCAUCUUGGCUGGGGCUCACUGAACUUUCUGAAUCUGUAGAUUAAUUUUCUUUUUUCAAUAAACCUUGGAAUAUUUUCAGCAUAA